UACAGAGGGUGCAAGCGUUGUUCGGAAUUAUUGGGCGUAAAGGGCGCGUAGGCGGUGCGGUAAGUCUGUAGUGAAAUCUCUGGGCUCAACUCAGAGUCUGCUGCAGAAACUGCCGUGCUUGAGUGUGGGAGAGGUGAGUGGAAUUCCCGGUGUAGCGGUGAAAUGCGUAGAUAUUAGGAAGAACACCAGUGGCGAAGGCGGCUCACUGGCCCGGUACUGACGCUGAGGCGCGAAAGCGUGGGGAGCAAACAGG
rnacentral:rRNA from 1 species